CUGGGACAAUAAAUAACAUUAAGCUGUUACACACCCAGAAACAUUAUGUUGUUGUGGUCUGGGACAAUAAAUAACAUUAAGCUGUUACACACCCAGAAACAUUAUGUUGUUGUGGUCUGGGACAAUAAAUAACAUUAAGCUGUUACACACCAAGAAUAAAUAUGUUGUGUGGAGGUGCUGACUAACGAUGAAUAAACUAUAAACUAUCAAAUUAAAUAGAGUCCCACACUCCAUAUAUAAACUCUAUAUAUAAACUCCAUAUAUAAACUCCAUAUAUAAACUCCAUGUAUAAACUCCAUGUAUAAACUCCAUGUAUAAACUCCAUAUAUAAUAUAUAAACUCCAUAUAUAAACUCCAUAUAUAAACUCCAUAUAUAAACUCCAUGUAUAAACUCCAUAUAUAAACUCCAUAUAUAAACUCCAUAUAUAAACUCCAUAUAUAAACUCCAUAUAUAAACUCCAUGUAUAAACUCUAUAUAUAAACUCCAUAUAUAAACUCCAUAUAUAAACUCCAUAUAAAAUAUAUAAACUCCAUAUAUAAACUCCAUAUUUAAACUCCCAGUAAUUGAUUGGGUUUUUACCAACGUUUCAGCAUCACUGUGUCUUCUUCAGGGUGAUGUCAUGAAUACUUGAACCAGGUUAUGUAGACAAACAGUGCUAUUAGUGCAACCAAUGUCAAUAGUGAGGGGUGUGUCAUAAUUAUUAAGUUAUUAAUUAAAAUUAAUUAGUGAAACUUUUAAAAAACAAUAGUUUAUGGCGUAUUAAAUAUAGUAGGCUAUAUUAUAUAUAUCCCCCUCUCCUAUUGUUAAAUUCACUCACCGCUAGGUGUAAUUGAUCCUAUCGUACCAGUCUAAACACUCAUUCAGACCGCUAGGUGUAAUUGAUCCUAUCGUACCAGUUAAAAACGCUCAUUCAGACCGCUAGGUGUAAUUGAUCCUAUCGUACCAGUCUAAACACUCAUUCAGACCGCUAGGUGUAAUUGAUCCUAUCGUACCAGUCUAAACACUCAUUCAGACCACUAGGUGUAAUUGUUUGUAGGUCUCUUAUCCACCUACGUUCCACUGCUUUUCACCGCCCACUGGUCCACCCAGAACACGACUGUAAUCCUGAUAUAUGGAGGUAAGUGAUGGGGUGAUCCUGGAAAUGAGUCACUAGUUCUGUGUGUAAAUGGGCCCGUUUGAUAUUGUAUAGAUGUUGUUUAAGUCUAUUUUCUAUUGUAUACUGGGUUUCCCCAAUGUAGUGUUUUUUUGCUAAAUGUGCAAGUGAUUAUAUAUAUGACAUUUGGAGUGUAGAGUGAAAUGGAGUCUAAAACUGGAGUGGAGGUCUUGCUGUAUGAGUUUGAAAUGAAUUUUCUUGGUCUGAAGUGGGCCGUGUAGGGUUUGGGUGGUUGUGGGGGCUUGGUACUGUAUUUAGCUUGGAUGAGGAUGUCUUUGAGGCUCUUAUUCCUCCUAAAUGCUGAGAUUAUUCUAUACAGCUGGAGGGGUGUGUGUGCCUGUUGGGUGAUGGAAAAAUUGUGUUUGAACACCUGAUGUAACGGUCUGAUCCUAUGUGAGAAUGUAGUAACUAGGAGGAUGAGGAUUGUCUGCUGCUCGGAAGGGGAAUGAGAGGAGGAAAGAAGAUUGUGGUUCCGAGGGGGGUCAAUUUCCAAAUCUGUUGUUCUAGGAGGGGUAAGGUUAGGGGUAGGGUUAUGAUUAGGGUUAG
ensembl:lncRNA